rnacentral:RNase_P_RNA from 2 species
ACGUUCGGGUAAUCGCUGCAGGGAGACCUGCAGAGGAAAGUCCAUGCUCGCACGGGCUGAGAUGUCCGUAGUGUUCGUGCCUAGCGAAAUGAUAAGCUAGGGUAGCGAGGAGUUAAUCUUUGCUAACGGCAGGAAAAAAACCUAAGUCCAUCUGGAUAUGGUUUGACUACCUAUAAAGUGCCACAGUGACGAAGUCUUGUAAGAAAUUACAAGAGUGGAACGAGGUAAACCCCACGAGCGAGAAACCCAAAUUAUGGUAGGGGCACUUUCUCUCUUGGAAAUGAACAAGGAGAAGGACAGACACUUUAUCGUCUGUAGAUAGAUGAUUACCACCGGAGUACGAGGUAUUCGUUUUACCGAUUGAAGUACGAUGGAACAAAACAUGGCUUACAGAA